rnacentral:rRNA from 1 species
CCCGCUGAACUUAAGCAUAUCAAUAAGCGGAGGAAAAGAAACUAACAAGGAUUCCCCUAGUAACUGCGAGUGAAGCGGGAAAAGCUCAAAUUUAAAAUCUGGCGGUCUUUGGCUGUCCGAGUUGUAAUCUAGAGAAGUGUUAUCCGCGCUGGACCGUGUACAAGUCUCCUGGAAUGGAGCAUCAUAGAGGGUGAGAAUCCCGUCUUUGACAUGGACUGCCAGGGCUUUGUGAUGCGCUCUCAAAGAGUCGAGUUGUUUGGGAAUGCAGCUCAAAAUGAGUGGUAAAUUCCAUCUAAAGCUAAAUAUUGGCGAGAGACCGAUAGCGAACAAGUACCGUGAGGGAAAGAUGAAAAGAACUUUGGAAAGAGAGUUAAACAGUACGUGAAAUUGCUGAAAGGGAAACGCUUGAAGUCAGUCGCGUCGUCCAGGGAUCAACCUUGCUUUUGCUUGGUGCACUUUCUGGUUCGAUGGGUCAGCAUCAAUUUUGACUGUUGGAAAAAGGUCAAGGGAAUGUGGCAUCUUUGGAUGUGUUAUAGCCCUUGGUCACAUACAAUGGUUGGGAUUGAGGAACUCAGCACGCCGCAAGGCCGGGUUUUAAACCACGUACGUGCUUAGGAUGCUGGCAAUAUGGCUUUAAUCGACCCGUCUUGAAACACGG